rnacentral:rRNA from 1 species
CCUACGGGUGGCAGCAGUCGAGAAUCAUGCACAAUGGGGGAAACCCUGAUGGAGCGACGCCGCGUGGGGGAAGGAAGUUCUACGGAUUGUAAACCCCUGUCAUGUGGGAGAAAAUGAAAAUGAUAGAAGCACAAGAGGAAGAGACGGCUAACUCUGUGCCAGCAGCCGCGGUAAGACGGAGGGCUCAAGCGGUGUUCGGAAUGACUGGGGGUAAAGCGUGCGUAGGCGGUGUUGUAAGUCGUGUUUGAAAUGCGCGAGCUCAACCCGAGAACGGCAUAUGAUACUGCGAGACUUGAGUAAUGGAGGGGUAAGCGGAAUUCUCGGUGUAGCAGUGAAAUGCGUAGAGAUCGAGAGGAACACUCGUGGCGAAGGCGAGUUCCUGGACAUUAACUGACGCUGAGGCACGAAGGCCAGGGGAGCGAAAGGGAUUAGAUACCCUAGUAGUC